UUAGAGCUAUUAAGUAAAGUGGAAGAAUAACUAAUGAAUAUGCAACUAUAACAUUCAUGGGCAUUUCAUUAGUAUAAUACCCAUAGAAUGAUGCUAAAUACAAGCAAACAAUCACUAAAGUUAUGAAAAAUAAAGAGAAAUUCAUGUUUUGAUGAUGAAUUUUAUCUAGAAGGUUAAGAGAUGAAGAAGUUGUGCAAAUAAAUGGUUGAAGGAACAAGUAUUUAUAGGACAAAAACUAGCCGUUUAUGACCGUUGGUGAAUAGUGAUCAUGACCGUUGGGGGUAUAGUUGUUUUCUAUUAUGGGAUUUUAACAAUUCUAAGUUGUUGUAGUAACCAACAGGUGGGAAUAAUUAAUUUAUGGGUGUUAGAGAAACAUUUUCAGAAAAGUUUAUGAGUCAAAAAUGUUAAACUAAGUAAUAUAAGAAGAUUGGGAAAUUUUCUUUUUUUUUACUAUUCACCGGGUACUAUUCAUAGUGGGUCCCACAGUGGGGUCCGCAAGGGUCCCACAGCGGGGUCCACCCCAUGGGUCCCACAUGUUGAUGCAGUAGUGAUAUAGUGAUGACUUAAGCAAAUUACUAUGCUUGAUAUUUUGAAUAUUUUAUUAUUUUACUAUGCUUGAUAUUUUUAAUAUUUUAUUAUUUUACUAUGCAGCAUAGUAACCCAAUGUUUUCCUAUAAAUAGAGCCUUUCAGAAUUCAUUUUGAAUUACGAAAAAUCUUUCUUUCUCUCACUCUGCCUAAAAUCUUCUUAACACUCUUUUAAAGUUUUAAAUCUCUAAAAUCUAGGCGAAGUUCUGUUUGUAACGCUAGCCUACGAAGACCUUUUUGGGAAGCUAACAAUUUCGGUUGUUUUAUCAAGACGCAAGGUAAGAGGCCCCAAAUAUAAAUCGUUGAUGAGUAUACGUGGAGCCAACAUGACUGUACAUAUGGGGCUGACCUGAAGGGAGUGGAGUUCUGCUAUGCUAUUUUAUAAAUAAACAAGAAACUUGGUUUUAUUAUAUUUCAUUAAAAGUAUUUUGUGAACUUUAUCAUUUACUUAAAGCUUUAAAAGUAUUUCAUGAACUUUGUAAUUUACAUAAAGCUUUUCAAUUUAUCAGUUGGAUACAUUUUCAUUUCUACGUUAAGGUGUA